ACAUUUUCAUUCCUGACGGGGGGAUUUUAAUAUCUGAUACGUGGGCCAUCGGCUCACAUGAUAUUAACUCAAUUUUUCUCGAGGAAAGGUCCAUCAAGGUAGCUUGCUACUUGGGUCUUUGAGUGUCGCCUUGGUAUUGCACCAUUGCCUUGGCCUGGCACACCCCAC
rnacentral:snRNA from 1 species